rnacentral:sRNA from 1 species
GAAAAAUAAAAUUAAUAGAUGCUCACAGUACCUAGUGAAAAAGAAAUUCUUAGAUUUCAGGUGAAUGAGGUCAACACUAUUCUGUAUAUAAGACAGGAAAUUAAAGUCAAGGUAAAAAUGGGCCCUACAUAAAAUUAGCGAAUGAUAAAUGGUAAUUGCCUGAUGAGGGUGUAAAUGAUCAGAGUAAAAGGACGAGGCUUACCCGAGCGGGGAAAACACACCGCUGAAAACCACAAAUUGUCAAUGUGGAAAACUCGAAGCAUUAGCAAACAAGUUUCAGCAGUCAGCAUAAUAUGAAAAUAAUGUCCCAUGUCACAGGCUGGGCAAGUGGUAUGAACACGUCUGUUUGGAAAUGCUUACUGAAUGUCAAAACAUGGACCUGCUAUCUGAAGUCUUACGAAGGUGCAAGCAUUAGGGCUGCAGCAACUCUUUGUGAACAGGAUAGUUGGGUACCAAUGGGGAGCUGGCCCAUUUUCAUCCAAUGCCUGCGCAUGCCCAGUGUCCACAUACCGAGCAAGAAAACCCCUCACGUUGUCUAAAAUACUAUCCAUGUGCCCCGCUCUUAUGGACAACAGCACAUUUAAUUUUGGCAUUUAAAAAAAUAUUAAACUAGACCAUGCAUUCCAGUGAGAAGAGCUCCUGCCGGGUCAGCAUAUCAUUAGCUUUCCUCGAAACUUAAUACUGCUUAUUCUACAAACGUAAUACCGAAAACACUGUACCAGCAUCCUUUAAUAUAAACUCAUAGGAUAUAUUUAUUUCUGGAUCGCUAUUGGAAAUUCUACUUUUUCUGAGUGCUACAAUUAGUCAUGUCUCUCGUAUUUUUUUCUUUGUUCUGGACUCGUGAAGUGUAGAUUCUGAUUUUUGACCUGUGUUCAGCUAGUUGAUGAAAAAGCACAGAACGCUUUGUGUGUGUUCCCGUCACGAUCCGUAAAUUCUAGCCUCUCCCCUCACUCGUUCUUUAUUAGUAAAUGUAGAAAGGAAAAAUGUUUUUAAAAUAAUUUUCCCCCCAAUGGUACAACAGGUUACUUAGCAGUUAGAUGUUAUAGGCCGAAAGCGUGGUAUAGGUGUCUCAUAGGUUUCUCUAAAAAUGCAUUCUGCCAUUCCCCUCACCCAACCCUGAGUUGAUUGAAAAUAAAAGGAUCCUUCUGUAAAGCCAGGGAUUCUGGAGACGGAAAGUCACUCCCAAGCCCUGGGCCUUUGCGGAUGACGUAUAACCAAGAGAGGAUGAUGGGAAUGGAACCGGGAAUGAUGGGUAUGCGAGGACAGCAAGCCUCAUGGUUCAAGCUGCUCUCACAUGCCAUAAUCUCUCGAGAUCUCCACACCCAUCGUCAGCAUCUAAUUCCUUCUCUUCUUAUCUGACCUCAUCUCUGGAGCAGUGUGAUCUGUGUUACCGACUGACUGGAUUCUGGCAACUUAAACAUGUGUAUUUCAAAUGGAAUUUGGCUCUAACAUGAUCGGUCUACGUUAUGCUCAGUGUAAUUGUAGGGAAGAGAUUACCCUUUAGAUACAGUAACGUGUCCUGUGUCUUUUGAAAAUGGAUCCCUAGAAGAGUAUGGCGUCCUCCUACUUUCCAUGGUUUGCCAUUGUAAGAUACUUACGUAACGACAAAUAAUAGGAUUUCUCGAAUGAGUUUAUAGGAAGCGGCUUUAUACUUGGGAGUGGUGGAGACUUGUAUUCCUGUGAGAGUCCAUUGAUGCAGGAUACCAUCUGUUUCCUAUGUAACAUUAAUUCAUGUCAGCUUUUCUGGAGUCAAGCAAAAGCCAAUGGGAAGAGAAGAAAGGAAAAGAAAAGGCACAAGCAAUGAGACCACUCAACAUAAGUUCUGAAUUCAUUCAAAAGAUUCUAAAGAAAGUAUUUACUCUGCUGUUUCCAGUCUCAUUCAUCUUUAACUCCUCUGUAUCGAAAAACGUGGACUUAUUACUUUGAUUUUGUGAAGACUUAUUAAAAUAGGGCCAAUUAACUUAACUGCAGUAUACCUGAGCUGACAAAUAUAUUGGUAAGUAUGUUUUAUUAAUACAACAAAAUUUUACUUUUGAUUAGUAGAGAUUUGAGUCAUGGUCUUUAGCUCAUCAUACAAAAUAAACAAAUUGGAUCCCUCCUUGCUAACUUGUGAAUUUCCAGAGGCUGGCUAAUAAUUAUUUGACUUACUGUCAUGGAGUGUUCUAAAGUGACACAUCAAAUCAUCCCUUAAAUAGGCUAGAGCUAGCCUAAUUGAAUGUGUCAUGGAGUUAGUAUAAAGUAUUUAAAAGUACUCAAAAUGAGUGACAGACAAGCAUAACCUCUGAAGGAAUUGGCACAUGACUCAGAAUUACAGAUUUUUCUUAUGAUUCUAUUAGAGAGUAAUUAACUGAAAAGAUAAGAAUGGUACCCAAGAUUAAUGACAAUGUCGAUAAGCUAUUUGAACUUCAGCUAAAAAUGAAUACAUGGAGCACAGCGAUUAAGCACAUUUGGUUUAAAUAAAGCACCUUCGGCGGCUGGGAAGAUUGCCCACUGAGUUUAUGUUCCUACUGGGAAAUAUUUCUUGGGAUUGGAGUAACCAAGGCAUCUCAAAAACAAUGGGAACAAUAAAGAAGUUAAAAAUACUUUAUAAAGAAAGCAGGCCUCCUGGCCAUUAUCAUCUUAGGCUCUUAGUGAAGUAACAGAGUGGAAAUUAAGAGAAAAGGCAUCAUGCGUGCAUGAAGAACACAGUGAGAAGCUGCUGAUGAGUUUACAGGGAACAGAGCCCGUUAGGCAUCUGCCCUUGCAUUCCUCUGAGCACGGUGAGAAGUGGGUGGAGGGAAUUUGGUGGAUGUAAUAUAUCUGGACUUCACUAAAUCAUUUCUUUUAUGCCUUGUAGAAGCUUACUUAACAUUUUAAUUAAAACUGGUUUAACUAUUUAUACUGGCAAUCGUCCUGAAAUAGCUGAUACAUUUUAGAAAGGGGAAGAUGAGAGUCCGUCACUACAUAGGAGCUGAGUGAGUGAGAGGAAGGAGAAAAACUGAAUGGGCACUGGGCCAUAGCUGGUCUCCUGAGGCCAAAGGACCUUGGAUAUGAGAUGUUAGAGCACAGUUGGCGCUCAAACAUUAAGGCUUAGAAUUGAUCUUAAGAAUAAUGCAAAGCAGAGUUUAUUUUGCAUGCUUUUGUCAUGCUAACAGCAUCUCCUCUGCAGCCAGAGACUACCUUUCCUGAUUGCAAAAAUCCUGAUUUGGUCCUGGAGAAAAACCUUAAGUUAUUGGAAGAUGUUAUUAAAAAGAAAUAAACCCUUGGUUCAGUGAAUGUUAUUAAACAACAACACGACGACAACAACAACAGCAACAAUAACAACAAAAACUUCCAGUUAAAAGAACUUGUGGAAAUAAAAUUCUACUUCUGUAGAAAACAUUGCCUUAGAUGCCAUCUACGUUUUGGUCAUUAAUGCUGGUCUCUGUUUCCUUGUCACCAUUAACUUGGCCAUUAACCUAGUGCUUUCAUAUAUUUUAUCAUCUUUAUUACCUCUGUUAUGACAAGGAAGGCAAUGGUUGUAACCGUUGCUUCUAUUUAUUUCCUACACCAAUGGGUUGGCAUCUAGACCUGAUCCUGUUAUAACCGAUAAUCUGUUUUGCAAAACAAGUUUUGUAAUUUAUCAGUUCCGUCAUAUCCAGUUUGCGAUAGAGAAAUCCUUACGUUAAGUACAGGCUGUAGACAGGGUGGUAUUGUUUAGCUGCACGCCCCAAAUGUAUUUCAUCCAGGGCAAAUGGCUACAGUCUGCAAUGGUUGACAUUAUAUGAUUAGAUCUUAUAAUUCUGUAGCAUGCCAUUUUUUUUCCGACAAAUCCCGUACCUUUCUCCUCAGAUUCUUCCAGAGUGGUUGCUCGCAAAGUAUCUCAGGGCUUCCUCACAGCAAGGGCAGGCAUUUUCUCUAUUCUCCUUAAUGCUUAACUCUAGCUCUUCAGCAAGCACACUUAAAAGGUUUGGCCGUAUCUUAUAAAAUUCCGAAGUUCGGAAACCAGAAAAUAUGGUAGUAGAGUGUAGUCUUUGCCCCUUAGUAACACAAAAUUCUUUUGUUUUUGUGGUGUCUGCUCUCAUUUAUCUGCAUGCACAUGUGUGAAGACCAGAGGUCAACUCUGGGCACUGUUCCUCAGGAGCCAUCCACCUUGUCUUAUUCGGCAGUGCGUCUUUCGGGCACUUGAGGCUUGCUUAUGAGGAAAGGCAGGCUAACCAAUGAGCCCUAGGCAUCCACUUGUUCCAGCCUCCCCAAUGCUAGAGUUACAAAUCCACCCCAGUGCCCAACUCUGUAUGCAGGUUUUGGAGAAUCACACUCAGGUGAUGCUGGUGUUACAGUAAGUACUUUAGAGACAGAGCCAUCUUUCCAGUUCCCAAAAUUGCAAAAUGAGCCAAUGUUCUGUUUUCGACAUACUAAGUAAUAACUGAAAUUGACAUUAUUUAAUGUUAGUUGUUAUGUUAAAUAUGAAUUAACAUAAGGUUCAAAAGCAAAGAGGAUAAUAGAAAUGGUAGCAUCAUUUUGAGAAUUUGGACAUUCAUUAGCAUUUGGAAUUUAAAAUCCAUUAUUCUGUAGAAUGAAUUUACACAUGGGGAAGAAUUUUAGCUGAUUAAUAGCUCAAACUUGUGUAUUAUAAGCUCUGGUUUCACAUUUUG